rnacentral:rRNA from 1 species
AUGAACGCUGGCGGCGUGCCUAAUCCCUGCAAGUCGAGCGAACAGACGAGGAGCUUGCUCCUCUGACGUUAGCGGCGGACGGGUGAGUAACACGUGGAUAACCUACCUAUAAGACUGGGAUAACUUCGGGAAACCGGAGCUAAUACCGGAUAAUAUAUUGAACCGCAUGGUUCAAUAGUGAAAGACGGUUUUGCUGUCACUUAUAGAUGGAUCCGCGCCGCAUUAGCUAGUUGGUAAGGUAGCGGCUUACCAAGGCAACGAUGCGUAGCCGACCUGGGAGGGUGAUCGGCCACACUGGAACUGAGACACGGUCCAGACUCCUACGGGAGGCAGCAGUAGGGAAUCUUCCGCAAUGGGCGAAAGCUUGACGGAGCAACGCCGCGUGAGUGAUGAAGGUCUUCGGAUCGUAAAACUCUGUUAUUAGGGAAGAACAAAUGUGUAAGUAACUAUGCACGUCUUGACGGUACCUAAUCAGAAAGCCACGGCUAACUACGUG